rnacentral:rRNA from 1 species
CCUACGGGGUGCAGCAGUGGGGAAUAUUGGACAAUGGGCGAAAGCCUGAUCCAGCCAUGCCGCGUGUGUGAAGAAGGCCUUCGGGUUGUAAAGCACUUUCAGUGGGGAAGAAAGCCUUGGGGCUAAUACCCUCGAGGAAGGACAUCACCCACAGAAGAAGCACCGGCUAACUCCGUGCCAGCAGCCGCGGUAAUACGGAGGGUGCGAGCGUUAAUCGGAAUUACUGGGCGUAAAGCGCGCGUAGGCGGUCUGAUAAGCCGGUUGUGAAAGCCCCGGGCUCAACCUGGGAACGGCAUCCGGAACUAUCAGGCUAGAGUGCAGGAGAGGAAGGUAGAAUUCCCGGUGUAGCGGUGAAAUGCGUAGAGAUCGGGAGGAAUACCAGUGGCGAAGGCGGCCUUCUGGACUGACACUGACGCUGAGGUGCGAAAGCGUGGGUAGCAAACAGGAUUAGAUACCCCGGUAGUC